GCUCAAACUUUCUACAAAGCAUAAGGACAUCAAUAUGUAUCAGAAAAUGUGAUAGAAAUUUGGGGUAAUUUCAGAGCUAAAAACAAUGGACAAAAUUAUUGUUGUUCAAAAAUUAGACAAAAGUCCCUGCACUAUAGUACAGGGACUUUGCUUAAAUUUUACCAAAAUUGAAAAGGAGACAAUUCUCCAUUAUUCCAUAGAUAGUAGACUGGAAGGAUGGAUUGGAAACGCCUAAUAGAAACGCCUAGAUUUUGUUAUUAAUGCGCACUUCUCCAAAAUGGUGGACUGUACUAUAUGACUGCCUUUCUUAUUCUUAUAGUUGAUAAAAGCGCUUCCAAAUCCAAACUGCUUUAGUAAGCAUUUAGUCAGCUGAAAAUGUCUGCCAAAGACUUGUGAUAACUUUUGUACUUUUUUCUAUUAAAUGACAAUAUUUACUUAUUGAUUUUUAUCCCUGUAUGAUAGAUAUUUACCAGCUCUGUUGCAUAGAA